UAAACUCCCCCACUCCAUCGAUUCUUCUUCUCAAUUUCAUUCUCCCAUUUCUCUAAAAAUCUCCAAUUACAGCAUUGCAGCGUCUUCUUCUUCCUCUCGCCUCCUUUCCAUUUCUCACCUUCUCCGGUGAAUUCAUGCCCGGAGAGAGUCCGACCCCCCCCCCCUCAAAUCGGGCAUCUCUCUCUUUUAGUUCACUAUUUUCCAAUUAAAUCUCAGAUCCCUAAAUGAGAAGAACACAUCGGCGAUUUCUUCUCUCUCUCGAUAUCUCUGUUCUCCGGCAAAACGCUGCCACCUCGACAGCACUUUCGGAGUCCGCCGUCGUCCCGCGCCGUGAGCAGCAGCCCCUACCGUCGUCGUCCCGCACCGUUCGCCGUUGUCUCCUUCGCGAGGCAGCCACAACAUGCACCGGAGUUCGCGCUCGCUCCCUCCGGCGAGUACUCCCCCCUUUCGGCGAAGUCGGCGGUGGAGAGGAGGCGUCGCCUCCCUCUCUCUUUCAGCCGCGACCCGUAGCUACCCCGCCGAGUUUCCGGGAUUCUGCCGUCGCCGGACUGGUACUUUGGCUGCGCAUUUGGAAUCUUGUGGGGCACAAAUUUGAGAAAGAUGGAGAGGAGAAGAGGGAGGAAAGAAGAUCUCUUACUGUAGCUCCCUUGACCAAAGCAACCUUAACUUUUAUCUAAGUUUUUGGCUGCUACAAUUCCAAUAGAGUAGGACUAGCUAUUACUUCAUUCCCCUCUUGAGAAGGGUUUCCCAUGCUUGAAAGGGACUUUUACUUGUAGCUCCAUGCAUCCAAAUGUAUAGUUUGUUUUGUACUUUACUACUCACAUGUAUGUUCCGUAUUUCUCUAGUAAGAGUAUUUCAUUUACUUUUA